AUUGAACGCUGGCGGCAGGCCUAACACAUGCAAGUCGGGCGAGCGGAGGACGGGUGAGAAAUGUAUGGGGAUCUGCCUGGUGGAGGGGUAUAACUACUGGAAACGGUAGCUAAUACCGCAUACCAUCAGAUGAACCCAUAUGGGAUUAGCUUGUAGGUGAGGUAACGGCUCACUGAGGAGACGAUCCCUCGCUGGUCUGAGAGGCUGAUCAGACAAACGGGGACUGAGACACGGCCCAGACGCCUGCGGGAGGCAGCAGUGGGUAAUAUUGAACAAUGGGCGCAAGCCUGAUGCAGCCAUGCCGCGUGUAUGAAGAAGGCCUUCGGGUUGUAAAGUACUUUCAGUCGGGAGGCGUUACCGACAGAAGAAGCACCGGCUAACUCCGUGCCAGCAGCCGCGGUAAUAC
rnacentral:rRNA from 1 species